rnacentral:rRNA from 1 species
GAGCGGUAGAGAGAAGCUUGCUUCUCUUGAGAGCGGCGGACGGGUGAGUAAUGCCUAGGAAUCUGCCUGGUAGUGGGGGAUAACGUUCGGAAACGGACGCUAAUACCGCAUACGUCCUACGGGAGAAAGCAGGGGACCUUCGGGCCUUGCGCUAUCAGAUGAGCCUAGGUCGGAUUAGCUAGUUGGUGAGGUAAUGGCUCACCAAGGCGACGAUCCGUAACUGGUCUGAGAGGAUGAUCAGUCACACUGGAACUGAGACACGGUCCAGACUCCUACGGGAGGCAGCAGUGGGGAAUAUUGGACAAUGGGCGAAAGCCUGAUCCAGCCAUGCCGCGUGUGUGAAGAAGGUCUUCGGAUUGUAAAGCACUUUAAGUUGGGAGGAAGGGUUGUAGAUUAAUACUCUGCAAUUUUGACGUUACCGACAGAAUAAGCACCGGCUAACUCUGUGCCAGCAGCCGCGGUAAUACAGAGGGUGCAAGCGUUAAUCGGAAUUACUGGGCGUAAAGCGCGCGUAGGUGGUUUGUUAAGUUGGAUGUGAGAUCCCCGGGCUCAACCUGGGAACUGCAUUCAAAACUGACUGACUAGAGUAUGGUAGAGGGUGGUGGAAUUUCCUGUGUAGCGGUGAAAUGCGUAGAUAUAGGAAGGAACACCAGUGGCGAAGGCGACCACCUGGACUAAUACUGACACUGAGGUGCGAAAGCGUGGGGAGCAAACAGGAUUAGAUACCCUGGUAGUCCACGCCGUAAACGAUGUCAACUAGCCGUUGGAAGCCUUGAGCUUUUAGUGGCGCAGCUAACGCAUUAAGUUGACCGCCUGGGGAGUACGGCCGCAAGGUUAAAACUCAAAUGAAUUGACGGGGGCCCGCACAAGCGGUGGAGCAUGUGGUUUAAUUCGAAGCAACGCGAAGAACCUUACCAGGCCUUGACAUCCAAUGAACUUUCUAGAGAUAGAUUGGUGCCUUCGGGAACAUUGAGACAGGUGCUGCAUGGCUGUCGUCAGCCCGUGUCGUGAGAUGUU